rnacentral:snoRNA from 1 species
AAGACUGUAUUUUCAGGGAUCAUUUCUAUAGUUAUUUAAUAGAGAAGUUCCUCUGAUUGAGUAGAGCACCGGAAACCACAAGGAGGAGGUGCAGCAUUCUCUCCUGAGCCUGAAGCUGGUUCUUGGUGUUUCUUUGCAGCAGCUGCCAUUUGUCAUUGAUGAUUGUUCUUGGUUUCCUUUGGGGGAACAAGAGGGAGAAGAAGCAGUCUGAGAGGG